UCCGGUAGUAGCGGCGAGCGAAACCGGAUUAGCCCUUAAGCUAGUUUUGCGUUAGGUGAAAGUUCUGGAAAGUUCUGCGAUACAGGGUGAUAGCCCCGUAACCGACAACGCAUUAUCAGUGAAAACGAGUAGGACGGGACACGUGAUAUCCUGUUUGAAUAUGGGGGGACCAUCCUCCAAGGCUAAAUACUCCUGACUGACCGAUAGUGAACCAGUACCGUGAGGGAAAGGCGAAAAGAACCCCUGUGAGGGGAGUGAAAUAGAACCUGAAACCGUGUACGUACAAGCAGUAGGAGCCCACUUGUUGGGUGACUGCGUACCUUUUGUAUAAUGGGUCAGCGACUUAAUUUUAGUAGCAAGGUUAACCGUUUAGGGGAGCCGUAGGGAAACCGAGUCUUAACUGGGCGAAAUAGUUGCUAGGAUUAGACCCGAAACCGAGUGAUCUAGCCAUGGGCAGGUUGAAGGUGAGGUAACACUUACUGGAGGACCGAACCGACUAAUGUUGAAAAAUUAGCGGAUGACUUGUGGCUAGGGGUGAAAGGCCAAUCAAACUCGGAGAUAGCUGGUUCUCCCCGAAAGCUAUUUAGGUAGCGCCUCGGACGAAUACUACUGGGGGUAGAGCACUGUUAAGGCUAGGGGGUCAUCCCGACUUACCAACCUUUGCAAACUCCGAAUACCAGUAAGUACUAUCCGGGAGACACACGGCGGGUGC
rnacentral:rRNA from 1 species